UUCGCAAUGCCCGAAAGGGUGACGAAGCGACGCCGCGUGCGGGAAGAAGGCCUUCGGGUUGUAAACCGCUGUCGGGAGUUAAGAAAUGCAAGGGUGUUAACAGCGUCCUUGCUUGACUAAGGCUCCGGAGGAAGCCACGGCUAACUCUGUGCCAGCAGCCGCGGUAAUACAGAGGCGGCAAGCGUUGUUCGGAAUUAUUGGGCGUAAAGAGCACGUAGGCGGCCGUGUAAGUCGGUUGUGAAAGCCUUCCGCUCAACGGAAGAACGGCAUCCGAUACUGCAUGGCUUGAGUGCGGGAGGGGAGAGUGGAACUUCUGGUGGAGCGGUGAAAUGCGUAGAUAUCAGAAGGAACACCGGCGGCGAAGGCGACUCUCUGGCCCGUAACUGACGCUGAGUGUGCGAAAGCUAGGGGAGCAAACGGGAUUAGAUACCCCGGUAGUCCUAGCCGUAAACGAUGGGCACUAA
rnacentral:rRNA from 1 species